rnacentral:lncRNA from 1 species
GAACAAUUUCCAAUUAUGCUAAUUAUUUGUAUAAUACUUAGUUGGCUUUAUCUGUGGUUUGUUGGCUUAUUUUCCUGUAGCUUUUCAAGGUUUUUCUAUGAGUUCUGUUAAAGAGUCUGAAAAUGGAGCGUAGAAGACAUGCUUCGAUUUCCAGGAUGGUUGUGUUUUCCAGAGAGGCGGAGGUAAACCACUGGCGCAGCCCUGCCUCCCACAGAUAAUUCCGGGUGCAGUGUUUCAUAUCUAGACUUGGACUUCUAUCCUACCAUACUUCUUUGUGUGCAGUUCAUUGUGGAACCAGCACAGAUUUUCAUACGAAAGUUAUUUCUUUUUAACCUCAAAAAGUGACAGAAUGGAGUGUAUCAUGAAAAAGUCUGACAUCAAAACCUCAAAAUGUGAUAUUGAUUGGGUGAGAUAGAAUUCCAUGGAAUUUCAUUGCCAAACCAGUGAAGUGCUAAUUUUGACAUUUGUACCAGCUAACGUAGCUGUGAAGAAACACACCAAUACACUUCUAAGGACAGCAUAGACCAAGAUCUAGGUUUCAUAUGGAUGAAUUUAUUCUUCCCUUUGAGGCAAGACAAGAAGGAAAGAAAGUAUUGGGAAUAAUGCUGCCCUCCCAUCCUCAAGGGCCAGUGGGAACUCUAAUAUUGGGUAAAAUGGAAACUCUGAGAGUUUGGUUGGCGGCAUCUAUAUACCAUAGAAACAGAGCCUGGGAAGCAGAACAGUGAGACCCAAGAGAAAUGUUCCUGCCUAUACUUGGUCUGUUCUCACAUUUGCCUGAGCUACUGAUUGAUCUUUUGAGGGUGAUGAGAUGGUCAAAAUCCAAGGAUAUGAUGAGUUUUUACUUCUCAUUUUCUUUUUUUUUUUAUUAUACUUUAAGUUUUGGGGUACAUAUGCAGAACGUGCAGGUUUGUUACAUUGGUAUACACGUGCCAUGGUGGUUUGCUGCACCCAUCAACCCAUCAUCUACAUUAGGUAUUUCUCCUAAUGCUAUCCCUCCCCUAGCCCCUGACCCCCCAACAGGCCCUGGUGUGUGAUGUUCCCUCCCUGUGUCCAUGUGUUCUCAUUGUUCACCUCCCACUUAUGAGUGAGAACAUGUGGUGUUUGGUUUUCUGUUCUUGUGUUAGUUUGCUGAAAAUGAUGGUUUCCAGUUUCGUUCAUGUCCCUGCAAAGGACAUGAACUCAUGCUUUUUUAUGGCUGCAUAGUAUUCCAUGGUGUACAUGUGCCACAUUUUCUUUAUCCAGUCUAUCAUUGAUGGACAUUUGGGUUGGUUCCAAGUCUUUGCUAUUGUGAAUAGUGCCGUAAUAAACAUAUGUGUGCAUGUGUCUUUAUAGUAGCAUGAUUUAUAAUCCUUUAGAUAUAUACCCAGUAAUGGGAUUGCUGAAUCAAAUGGUAUUUCCAGUUCUAGAUCCUAGAGGAAUUGCCACACUGUCUUCCACAACGGUUGAACUAAUUUACACUCCCACCAACAGUGUAAAAGUGUUCCUAUUUCUCCACAUCCUCUCCAGCAUUUGUUGUUUCCUGACUUUUUUUAAUGAUCGCCAUUCUAACUGGCAUGAGAUGGUAUCUCAUUGUGGUUUUGAUACACAUUUCUGUAAUGACCAGUGAUGAUGAGCCUUUUUUCAUGUUUGUUGGCUGCAUAAAUGUCUUCUUUUGUUUUACUUCUCAUUUUCUUAAAGUGAAACAAUUUCAUGUGGUAUCUUCCAAGUAUAUUUUAAUCAGUUGCCAACCCAGCUGCUAAGAUUGAACUGUUUCUUUUGUUCUUCUCUUGUUUUUUUCUAUUAAUUUAGCAAACAAUUUUAUAUAUAGUUUGCUAUCCUUCUCCAUGGGGCCUGCAUCUUCAGAUUCAACUAGCCAUGGAUUGAAAAUACUUGACAAAAAAUUGUAUGGUUUCAUCUGUACUGAACAUGUACAGUCUUUUUCUCUCUUUUUCUCUUUCUUUCUUUUUUUUUUUUUUGAGACAGAGUUUCACUCUGUCACCCAGGCUGGAGUGCAGUGGCACGAUCUCAGCUCACUACAACCUCUGUCCCCCGGGUUCAAGUGAUUCUCCUACCUCAGCCUCCUGAAUAGCUAGGAUUACAGGCGCCCACCACUGUGCCAGGCUAAUUUUUGUGUUUUUAGUAGAGAUGGGGUUUCACCAUGUUGGCCGGGCUGGUCUCGAACUCCUGACCUUAAGUGAUCUGCCUGCAUCAGCCUCCCAAAGUGCUGGGAUUACAAGCAUGAGCCACCAUGCCCAGCCAAGUACAGACUUUUUCUUUGGUUAUUAUUCCCUAAAACAGUACAGUAUAACAACUAUUUACGCAGCAUUUACAUUGUAUUCAGCAUCAUGAGUAAUCUAGAAAUGAUUUCCUGCAUAUAGGAGGAUGUACAUAGGUUCUAUGCCAAUAGUGCACAGUGCUCGCUGUGUUUAAAGAAAUAUCCUAGGUAUAGAAUAAAUAAUUUUGAAGUCAGUGUGUUGAGAAAACACUGACAUGGAUAGAAAAUAUUCUGUCUAGAAUAGAAAAAACAAUAGAAUAGAAAAAGUUCUAUCUGUAUCAGUCUGAUCAAAGAUGUGAGCAUAAUUAUUCUUGUCAUACAUAUAGUCUAAUGAAUGUCUAAAGUGAAUUCUUAUAACUGCUUGUAACAAAAUAUUUCAUUUGGCAAAUGUUAUUUCACAACUUUCCUAAUUGCCCAUGUACUUUGUAGAUUGGUUUUCACAGAAUUCCAUGGACUUUAACUGCUGAACCAAUGAUGCACUGAUUUUGUCACUUGUACCAGCUAACGCAUCUGGGAGGCAACAAAACAAUACUCUCCUGAGGUUAAUGUGGACCAAAAACUAGAUUUCAUAUAAAAGAGUUUAUUCCUUCUACUUGAGGUGUGACAUGAAGGAAAGUAAUGGAAAUAAUUCUGCCCUCCCAUUCUCAAGGGCCAGGGGGAAUUCAAAUAUUGAACGGAAGUGAUUUUGGAAUUGCAUGGAAUUCUCACUGCCAUCCCAAAGAAAUGCUGAUCUUGUCACUCUUACCUGUUUCAUUCCCUGGGGGCAGAACAAAAGGACGCACUCCAAAGAUCGGCAUGAACCAAGAACUGGGUUUCAUAUAAAAUAUUUUAUUCUGUCCUCUUGAGAUGUGACAUGAGAAAAGUAUUGAGAAUACUUCUAUCACCUCAUCUUCAAGAAUCCGUAGGAAUUCUCCCAUGGUGGACUUUACGGUUAACCUGAACAGGUCUUGGAAAAAGGACUUUAAACAUUCUCCUGUUCUGUGGAAUAAGUAUACUUUUUUCUGGACAUACACCUUGUCAGUGAGUUCCAUGUGAUACUAGAGUUGCAUAGAUUUUUAACCUUUACGCCAAUGAAGAUCUGAGGCAAACAUUGCCCCUUUUUUAGAAGUUUGCAUUUGUCACUGAUAACUGUAAUAAUUGAUCUUGUUGAAAAGCCUGGGAAAUGAAGAUCUGAUAUGUCACUUUUACCGGCUUCCUCAACUGAAAAAGAAUACAAUGAAACACGCUGAGAAUUUUUGUGCUUUCUCAGUCUUGCUGAUGAUCUUUCUAUGGGCCUGAAGCGUGGAGAGUGCCAGAGAGGCUGAUCCUCAGCAGUGUGGCAGAGGAAAGUUGGGUGCGACUAAGGGGUAUGCGGUGCCCACAUGCCACUGGGUCCUCAGCAGUACCACCUGGUCAACAAAGACAAGGCACCUAGCCCCACAUGAAACUUUAUUCCUUUCCCUUUUGAGAUGUGACAUGAAAGAAAAUAACAGAAAUGAUUUUUCCAUCCCAUCCUCAGGGACCAGUGGGAAUGAAUUUUACCAUCCCACCCUCAAGGGCCAGAUUGGAAGUGAUAUUGGUGGAAGACAACAUUUUGCCGCUUGGAAUUCUCACCUCCACACCAAAGAAGUACUGUUUUUGUCAUUUGCACCAGCUUCUUUCUCCAGGAAAGAUCAAAACGAUGCACUGCAAGUGUGAUUGGUCCAGAUAGCUGCCUUAUCCAACUGCCUCCUUUGGACCACUUCAUCAUGGGACAGCUUGAUGCAAUCUACUUGACAAGACCCUGGAACCCCACACCCCUCAUGGAACCAGUGUCCACCUCCCAGUCACAGUGUGACCCCAGGGAACUCUUGCCUGCUUGCUUUAAACCCACCACUUAAAAGUCUCCACAGAAAACCUGUUUGAAUAGUACCCUUGACCCAAUAAGGGCAUUGGCCCCUGGGUGUCUCUCUCUCUCUCUCUCUCUCUCUCUCCCUCUCUCUCCCUCUCUCUCUCUCGCUCCCUGACCUCUGCGUGUGGACUCCAGGCAUGCCAUAUACCCCUCAGGACCUGAAGCAAAAGAAUGAAUUAAAGAAAACUCCAGAGAAUGAGCUGACAACCUACUCCCUGGUCAGUGGCUCUCCAUGCCUACCUGUGGUCUCUUGGACACCCUUGCAGAAGAUGACUUCCUGGGAACUCUUCUGGGAGUGAAUGUUAUCAGCAAAUUCCCAAAACAACACCCCUUAGACAAAAAGCCUCCUCACCUAUGCAUUGCCUAGACCACCCACUAAAGGUGAUGGCCACAAAGAGGUGGAUUUGUUGAGUUGGUGCCAUUCCUUCUACUGCCAGCUUCACCAAAACAAUGACACAGUCUUCCUUCCGCAUGGAGACUCUUCUCUUUCCUGUGUUGCAGUGGAUGCCUCCUGCAGAUAAGAAAUGCUUAACUGAGAAAUGCUCAUGUUGGGAUAUCAUCGAUGAGACUUUAAUUUGGGCAUGGUGACUGUUUCCCUUGCUGCCACUUGACUCAAUCCCAGGAGCCUCAGUAGAGGAUAUAAUAUUACACAAGAUGCUCAAAAUGGUGGAAUUGCUCAGUGCUCCCAUAAAUAUACAUUUAUAAUUUUCAUUUGCCACAUGGUAAACUGAAAAAUACAGACUAUAUUAAAAAGAAACUGCAUGAUUUUUUUUCAAAAAUUCAAAGCAUAUUUAAAUAAUAUAUAAAUUAAAUGCCCUCCUCUCUUCCAAUUCUGUCCCUAUAGUUUUCCUCUAUUAAGUGAACUACAUGCAUUCUUUUAGUGGAUAGAUGCACACAAACACACAAGCCAUUAUGGGGAAGGAUCCACGUGUGUGGCCAUAUUGUAACACAUUUUUCUGCAAAUCACCUCUUUCAUUUAACAGCCCUUAUUCAAUGGCCUUUUUCUUUUUCAGUAGUACAUACACAUCUGUGUCAUUUGUUGAAUGACGACAUGAAUGUUUUGUAGAUAAAAUAUAAUUAAAUGUUUUAAGCAUUUCUCACUCAUAGAUAUUUAUGUUAGCACCAAAUUUCUGUGCAAUGAACCUCCCUAUAUAUCAGUAAUUUUGCAUUUGUCUAUAAUAUCAUAAUAAAUUACUUAUCAGUUGAAUUACUGGGAUUAAGUAUGUGCACACUUUAUAUUUAUAUUUUGAAAAUUAUUGCAAGAUUGCCUUCAAAAAUGUGGUUAACAACUUUAUCUUCAAAUGGCAAUGAAUGAGAUUGCCAGCUUUCCUACAGCCUCACAGACAAUGGAUUUUAUAAAUAUUUAACAUUUUUGCCAAUGUGAUCACCCAAACUAUUGUCUUAAAUUGUAUCUCUUUUGUUUUUGAGUUUGGUCAUUUUUUCAUGUUUAUUAGCCAUCUGUAUUUUUUAAUUUCUUCUUUAUGUCCAAUUUUGUGGGUGGGAGGAGGAUUUAGUCUCUUCCUGAUUUCGAAGAGCUCAUUUACUAUUUCGGGAAAUAAGAUUUGGAUUGUCAACCAUUAUAGCUAUUUUUUACACACUUUUCAACUUUGUUUUUGUUAUAAGAAUGUGUAUGAUUGUUACAUGUCCAAGUAUAACCAUGUUCGCUUUUAUGGCUUCUGAGUUUCAUGUCAUUUUUGGAAAGAUAUAUAUAUUGAGUCCAUAAAACCCUUCACCUAUGUUAAAUUCUAAUUCUUUUGUGUUUUUUUAAUUCAAAUUCUUAAAUCAUGAGAAAUUUUUUUGUUUUGAAAUCUUAAAGUUGCCAAGUUACUUGCCAUUACUUGCGAUUAUUUGCCAAUAAUUGCCCAUUUAUCUGUACCGCCAUCUUGCGCAUAUGCUGUACUCUCAUCUGUGACUGGCUCCAUUUUUGUUCUGUGGAUUUGUGUGUCUCUUCUUCUGCCUCCUGUCUCGUGUCUGCUCGUUGGAAGAAAUUACAGUUUAGACUGCAAUUUCAUCAACUUUAAUAAAUCAAUUGAGGGGAGAAUUGGUUUUUAAAAAUAUUAAGUAAGUCUUCGUAUCCAAGGACAAGGUAUGUCUUUUCUUAUUCAAUAAUUUUAAUUACUGUUAAUAUUUUCACUGUGGUGAUGGGAGUUUUUCUUUUAAUUUAUUUUCUUGUUCAUUUUUUGUAUCUAAAGUUUUUGUUUUGUUUUGUUUUGGGGGUAAGUUGUCACCUUACUGUUUCUUGUUGCUUUUCAGAUUUUUUCAAAGUAUAGACUAAAUCCUUCACAAAUAUUUAAAGUUUUUAUUUUCCCCCUUCAUAUUGAUCCUGAUUUUAGUUAUGUUGACAAAGUCCACAGACUGUUACUAUCAGAACACUUGAACAGUUAUGGAAAUAUUACCUACCCUUGAUUUAAUCAGAGUUUAAUGGUAUGCUUCUUUGGUUUGACUGGCACAUUGUCGCUGGUCAUUUCCUCCCAAAGACCACCAGAAAGAGCUAUGAUCAAGCAAAGCUGAGUUUGUUAAACUUACCUGCAGCAAGGGAAAACACCACCUUGAUAGGGUUUAAUAAUGUUUCAAAAUCAAGAAAUGAGGCUUUGGGGUCUGGGCAGGGAACUAAUUAGAAAUGGGCAAAAUUUGUCAUGCAAUACCUUGUGGGAAAGUGAGAUGAGGUUCUUAAUGUGAGUAUUGAUGGUGAAAUCAUUUUCUAGGUGAGCUGUUUGCCUAUAUAAAGAUGUUAUCAAUGACAGAAGAACUAUUUGCCUAGAUAAACAAACUGAAUUUAUUUAUUGGUUUACAGUUUUAUCUUGCUGGGCAGGACUCUGCUGGGGGUGGUAUCAGGUCUUAUUCCCAAUAGGUAAGUUAUUUGGAUAUGGGUGGUCUUAAUCAUCAAUGUGUAAAAUGCUGAUUUUAAGUGCGAAAUACUUUGUCUACCAUGUUAGGAAAGUCUGCCACCUUUUAUCUUUUUUAAGGAAUUUUAAUCAAAACCAGGUGGUAGAUAUAAUCAAAUUGUUUUGCAGAAUCAAUUUUCCUGUUCUCUUUAAAGACUUUUAUCACUGUGAAUUAAUUUACUAUUAUUGCAACUUCCUUUAAUUCCUUGAAUGAACAGACCCUACUGGUUUUAAAAAUGUUUUAUUCUUUUAAUUUACUACUUAAUUGUGGGUAUUUUAAUUUGAUUUGGAAUUUUUACAAGUAUACAACUAAGUGAAAUUGAUCUGUGAUUUUUCUUUUUUGUGCUAUUUUUGUCAUGUUUUGAUAUCAGAUAUUCUGGUUGUGUUAAAAUAAUUUUGAGGAUUUUCUUCUUAUACUGUGUUCUAGAGUGGGUAAAAAAGCCCUAGUCUCACUAUCAGUGUUUAAGUGAACACAUCAGUGACAUCAUCUGGACUCUCCUUUGUUUUUGCUGGUUUGGAGUUAGGACAUCUAGAAGUUUUUUUCUUUUUUUCCUUUUUUUGUAUGGUUAUUGCUUGUUCUUUGUUUUGUGUCAAAUUUAACCUGUUUUCUCUUAGCAAAUCACAGCUCAUGCAGAUUUUCAAACACAUUAGCCUUGUUAUACAAAGUGUUCUUUCAUCAUUCUAUUAAAUUUCCAUUUUCAUUCCAGUUAUAGUUAUUUCUGCUGUGCCUUUGUUAAUGAAUAAGUUUAAACAGUGGAUGUUUAGCAUCACUAGCCUUCCCCUUCCAUCUCCCUUAAUCAGGACCUUGGUAUAAUUUAUCAGGUAUUUUUUAAGGUUCUAAUUUACUUAUAUAUAUUGUUUCUGUAUUCUUUUGUUUCUUUUCUUAAUAAAUUCUUAAA